rnacentral:rRNA from 1 species
UACGGGGGGGGCAAGCGUUGUUCGGAAUUACUGGGCGUAAAGGGCUCGUAGGUGGCCAACUAAGUCGGACGUGAAAUCCCCCGGCUUAACCUGGGAACUGCGUCUGAUACUGGAAGGCUUGAGUAUGGGAGAGGGAUGUAGAAUUCCAGGUGUAGCGGUGAAAUGCGUAGAUAUCUGGAGGAAUACCGGUGGCGAAGGCGGCAUCCUGGACCAUUACUGACGCUGAGGCGCGAAAGCUAGGGGAGCAAACGGG